AUCCCCUACGGGACGCAGCAGUGAGGAAUAUUGGUCAAUGGGCUUACGCCUGAACCAGCCAAGUCGCGUGAGGGAAGACUGCCCUAUGGGUUGUAAACCUCUUUUGUCAGGGAGCAACGCCGGCUACGUGUAGCCGGACUGAGAGUACCUGAAGAAAAAGCAUCGGCUAACUCCGUGCCAGCAGCCGGGGUAAUACGUAGGGGGCAAGCGUUGUCCGGAUUUAUUGGGCGUAAAGCGAGUGCAGGCGGUUCAAUAAGUCUGAUGUGCAAGCCUUCGGCUCAACCGGAGAAUUG
rnacentral:rRNA from 1 species